rnacentral:tRNA from 1 species
GCCUGGCUGGCUCAUUUGGUAGAGCAUGAGACUCUUGAUCUCAGGGUUGUAGGUCCGGGCCCCACACUGGGUA